rnacentral:sRNA from 1 species
GCUGGGUGUGGUGGUGCACACCUGUAAUCCCAGGGGCUCGGGAGACUGAGACAGGAGGACCACAAGUUCAAGACCAGCCUCAGCAACUUAGUGAGGACCUAAGCAACCUGGCGAGACCCUGUCUCAA